CCUACGGGAGGCUGCAGUGGGGAAUAUUGGACAAUGGGGGCAACCCUGAUCCAGCCAUGCCGCGUGUGUGAAGAAGGCCCUCGGGUUGUAAAGCACUUUCAGUGAGGAAGAACGCCUGGUGGUUAAUACCCAUCAGGAAAGACAUCACUCACAGAAGAAGCACCGGCUAACUCCGUGCCAGCAGCCGCGGUAAUACGGAGGGUGCGAGCGUUAAUCGGAAUUACUGGGCGUAAAGCGCGCGUAGGUGGCUUGAUAAGCCGGUUGUGAAAGCCCCGGGCUCAACCUGGGAACGGCAUCCGGAACUGUCAAGCUAGAGUGCAGGAGAGGAAGGUAGAAUUCCCGGUGUAGCGGUGAAAUGCGUAGAGAUCGGGAGGAACACCAGUGGCGAAGGCGGCCUUCUGGACUGACACUGACACUGAGGUGCGAAAGCGUGGGUAGCAAACAGGAUUAGAUACCCGUGUAGUC
rnacentral:rRNA from 1 species